AGCAGUCGCCGCGGUAAUACGGAGGGUGCAAGCGUUAAUCGGAAUUACUGGGCGUAAAGCGCACGCAGGCGGUCUGACAAGUCAGAUGUGAAAUCCCCGGGCUUAACCUGGGAACUGCAUUUGAAACUGUCAGGCUGGAGUCUUGUAGAGGGGGGUGGAAUUCCAGGUGUAGCGGUGAAAUGCGUAGAGAUCUGGAGGAAUACCGGUGGCGAAGGCGGCCCCCUGGACAAAGACUGACGCUCAGGUGCGAAAGCGUGGGGAGCAAACAGGAUUAGAUACCCGUGUAGUCCCUGUCUCUUAUAC
rnacentral:rRNA from 1 species